rnacentral:lncRNA from 1 species
AUGGCACUAGCGGAGAUUCGCAAUGACGGCACACUAGGGGCAGCGAUGACUAGACAACUUCCACUCGCCGAAUCUGGGCAUUUCAGGAGAGGAUGGACGACAUGCCGCUGCCCGCUUGGGACUUGCGACCUCCGUCUGCACCCAAGCCCAUGCUGUGCAAAGCUCUACAAGAAGGGCAUCAUCCAGCCCUCUCCCAUCUGCACACACGUGCCGGCGGAGGCCGAGAAGGAGGGCACCGUGGCGAAGGCUGAGGAGUUCGGCUCGGUAGGGAAGGUUGUCUCAUGAGGAGAUGCAA